rnacentral:rRNA from 1 species
GAAGUUUUCAGAGAUGAGAAUGUGCCUUCGGGAACCGUGAGACAGGUGCUGCAUGGCUGUCGUCAGCUCGUGUUGUGAAAUGUUGGGUUAAGUCCCGCAACGAGCGCAACCCUUAUCCUUUGUUGCCAGCGGUCCGGCCGGGAACUCAAAGGAGACUGCCAGUGAUAAACUGGAGGAAGGUGGGGAUGACGUCAAGUCAUCAUGGCCCUUACGACCAGGGCUACACACGUGCUACAAUGGCGCAUACAAAGAGAAGCGAUCUCGCGAGAGCAAGCGGACCUCAUAAAGUGCGUCGUAGUCCGGAUUGGAGUCUGCAACUCGACUCCAUGAAGUCGGAAUCGCUAGUAAUCGUGGAUCAGAAUGCCACGGUGAAUACGUUCCCGGGCCUUGUACACACCGCCCGUCACACCAUGGGAGUGGGUUGCAAAAGAAGUAGGUAGCUUAACCUUCGGGAGGGCGCUUACCACUUUGUGAUUCAUGACUGGGGUGAAGUCGUAACAAGGUAACCGUAGGGGAACCUGCGGUUGGAUCACCUCCUUACCUUAAAGAAGC